rnacentral:rRNA from 1 species
GACGAACGCUGGCGGCGUGCUUAACACAUGCAAGUCGAACGGUAAGGCCCUUCGGGGUACACGAGUGGCGAACGGGUGAGUAACACGUGGGUGAUCUGCCCUGCACUUCGGGAUAAGCCUGGGAAACUGGGUCUAAUACCGGAUAGGACUCCUGGCUUCAUGGUUGGGGGUGGAAAGCUUUUGCGGUGUGGGAUGGGCCCGCGGCCUAUCAGCUUGUUGGUGGGGUAAUGGCCUACCAAGGCGACGACGGGUAGCCGGCCUGAGAGGGUGACCGGUCACACUGGGACUGAGAUACGGCCCAGACUCCUACGGGAGGCAGCAGUGGGGAAUAUUGCACAAUGGGCGCAAGCCUGAUGCAGCGACGCCGCGUGAGGGAUGACGGCCUUCGGGUUGUAAACCUCUUUCAGCUAUGACGAAGCGCAAGUGACGGUAGUAGCAGAAGAAGGACCGGCCAACUACGUGCCAGCCGCCGCCGUAA